AACUUUCAACAACGGAUCUCUUGGUUCUGGCAUCGAUGAAGAACGCAGCGAAAUGCGAUAAGUAAUGUGAAUUGCAGAAUUCAGUGAAUCAUCGAAUCUUUGAACGCACAUUGCGCCCCCUGGUAUUCCGGGGGGCAUGCCUGUUCGAGCGUCAUUUA
rnacentral:rRNA from 3 species